GCUGGAUUGCCCCGCAGGAGGCUGACCUGUGCGCACAGGAUGGAGGUGCUGGAAGCAGCUUUGUGUGUCGCCAGCACCGUAUCCUCCCCAAGGCGAGGAGAGCUCUGGGUGGAAAGAGGCGCGGAGUCGCUGCGGUUGGCAGAGACUGCUGGAGGGCACAGAGUCAAAACCUGUCAAAGCCAGUGAAGUUUCCCGUGUCUCCUUCGGCGUCUGGGGUGACUCUGCUUGGCUGGAGCUGGAUGGGCACAUCCUGCAGCAGAGGGAGACAACUGGAAGGCUCCACAAGAAGGUGGAUACCUGAGGCUCUGAAAGAGUGAAGCGU